rnacentral:lncRNA from 1 species
AUGGCGGCUCUCCAGUCAUGCAGUAAGUUGCUGGGAGGGUUCCAACUGGCAAAGUUGUUGUCUUCAGCCCGUUUCCCUUGGGAAAAUGUGAGCUCAGGCACCUGGUUUGGGGAAGAUUUGAAGUUCCAUAAAAGUUCUGGGCACAGCCUAGCCAUCGCGGUGUCAACGUGUCAGUUGGAAGGUUAACAUCGACUCUAGUUCCUACGGCGCUCUACUCUUGAGUAGACCGAGCGCUGCGUCUCGUCUCCCUGCCAAGACUGGACUGCGUUUCAGUUCCACCACGACCAACUUUGCCUUGCCUUGCUUCCUUGCCUUGUCUUGUUUCCCUGCCUUGGACAUUGAACUUGGAACUCUCUUGAAAAACCUUGCUUUAUUCCCCACUCAAACUGCCUGGAAGUUUGAGUGUGUUUUGGUUUGGAUUUAAAGACUUGAACUCUAAUACUGGACAUUAAACUUCAUAUUACUGGACUAUAUUUGACCUUUCCUAAAAGGACUAUUGCUGAACUAUAUACUCUGCUUAUUUUUGUUUGAUUCUUUUAUUGCUUUAAUAAAGAUAUUAGAUUGUUUAUUGGUCUCCGUGUUGGUUUCCAGUGCUCACGCAGCUUAGAAGCGUCACAAUGACCUACGUUCAGGAUGGCACAAUUAUUUAUGGUACAACAAAAGGAAAACUGAGAAAAAAUUUGGCAAUCACUAUAUUCGAGCAUCUCUAAUAAGGGUGUGGGAAAAAUACAAAGAAAGACUUUAUGCAAGAACUCCAUGUUGGAUAUCCCCAAUAGAAGCCAAACACAAAAGAGAAUUAGUGACAGAAAAUUGGCUAACAUACAAACAAAUUUUGAAAAAAAUCAGACAACCAAAACUUUAAUAUAAAGACCCAUGAUGAACUUAAAAAAGAAUUUCCAAAAAUAACAUGGUUUCAAUACUAUCACAUAAAACAAUGCUAUAAAGAGGAUACAGAAAAGGGAUUCUCACAAAACCAAGGCCCUUGGGAAAUUAUAAUGCAAAAAGGGAAAACAAUAUUAGGAUAUUAUACCAGAUGUUAUUAGAAUAGUCAACUGAGGAAGAACAAAUUAAACACUCUCAGGUAAAGUGGACCCAAGAUAUAGGGCACAGCAUAAACAUAAACCAGUGGGAGGAAAUUUGGA